rnacentral:rRNA from 1 species
GAUUAACGCUGGCGGCAUGCCUAAUACAUGCAAGUCGAACGGAAGCAGCAAUGCUUUAGUGGCGAACGGGUGAGUAACACGUAGGGAACCUACCUAUACGACGAGGAUAACUACUGGAAACGGUAGCUAAAACUGGAUAGGAUCAAUUGAGGCAUCUUGAUUGAUUUAAAGAUCCUUCGGGAUUACGUAGAGAUGGCCCUGCGGCGCAUUAGCUAGUUGGUGAGGUAACGGCCACCAAGGCGACGAUGCGUAGCUGAGCUGAGAGGCUAACAGCCACACUGGGACUGAGACACGGCCCAGACUCCUACGGAGGCAGCAGUAGGGAAUUUUCGGCAAUGGGGGAAACCCUGACCGAGCAAUGCCGCGUGAACGAUGAAGGUCUUCGGAUUGUAAAGUUCUGUGAUUGGGGAAGAAUGGUAUUCUUAGGGAAUGAGGAGUACAUGAC